CUUCGUCUCCUUUCUUUCGAGGCGGGAGGUCUGCGGAGAAAGCUCCGCUUCAGCCUCCUCGUAGCGAACGUCCCCUCCUUGCCAGCGGUUUCAAGCAACCACACAGUGACGUCGUCCGAUGAAUAAGAAACUGAAUGAGCAAGAGUGGCUAACGUCUUGUGCUGAUGUGGCUUUGUUUUCUAAUCUCCUCACGGAUGCCUGGCAGCUGCUGGAUACUCAGAAGAAGACAGUCACUUGGGCUCUUUCCUGUAAGCCAU